rnacentral:rRNA from 1 species
CGCGUAGGCGGCUGUAUAAGUCAGAUGUGAAAGCCCGCGGCUCAACCGUGGAAGUGCAUUUGAAACUGUAUGGCUUGAGUACUGGAGGGGGUAGUGGAAUUCCCGGUGUAGAGGUGAAAUUCGUAGAUAUCGGGAGGAAUACCGGUGGCGAAGGCGACUGCCUGGCCAGAUACUGACGCUGAGGUGCGAAAGCGUGGGGAGCAAACA